UACGUAGGCAGCAAGCGUUGUUCGGAGUUACUGGGCGUAAAGAGUGCGUAGGUGGUGCCCUAAGUCUGUUGUGAAAUCUCCCGGCUCAACUGGGAGGGGUCAUUCGAUACUGGCGGGCUCGAGGCCGGUAGGGGGAAGUGGAAUUCCCGGUGUAGUGGUGGAAUGCGUAGAUAUCGGGAGGAACACCAGUGGCGAAGGCGGCUUCCUGGACCGGUUCUGACACUGAGGAGCGAAAGCGUGGGGAGCGAUCCGG
rnacentral:rRNA from 1 species